GACGAACGCUGGCGGCGUGCUUAACACAUGCAAGUCGAACGGAAAGGCCCCUUCGGGGGUACUCGAGUGGCGAACGGGUGAGUAACACGUGAGUAACCUGCCCUUGACUUCGGGAUAACUUCAGGAAACUGGGGCUAAUACCGGAUAGGAAUCCUUGCUGCAUGGUGGGGGUUGGAAAGCUUCGGCGGUUUUGGAUGGACUCGCGGCUUAUCAGCUUGUUGGUGGGGUAGUGGCUUACCAAGGCUUUGACGGGUAGCCGGCCUGAGAGGGCGACCGGCCACAUUGGGACUGAGAUACGGCCCAGACUCCUACGGGAGGCAGCAGUGGGGAAUAUUGCACAAUGGGCGGAAGCCUGAUGCAGCAACGCCGCGGGCGGGAUGACGGCCUUCGGGUUGUAAACCGCUUUCAGCAGGGGCGAAGCUUGUGGUGACGGUACCUGCAGAAGAAGCACCGGCUAACUACGUG
rnacentral:rRNA from 1 species